UACGGAGGGUGCAAGCGUUAUCCGGAUUCACUGGGGUUAAAGGGUGCGUAGGUGGGUUGGUAAGUCAGUGGUGAAAUCCCCGAGCUUAACUUGGGAACUGCCAUUGAUACUAUCAGUCUUGAAUACUGUGGAGGUCAGCAGAAUAUGUCAUGUAGCGGUGAAAUGCUUAGAUAUGACAUAGAAUACCAAUUGCGAAGGCAGCUGGCUACACAAAUAUUGACACUGAGGCACGAAAGCGUGGGGAUCAAACAGG
rnacentral:rRNA from 1 species